rnacentral:misc_RNA from 1 species
GAUGAAGAACGCAGCGAAAUGCGAUAAGUAAUGCGAAUUGCAGAAUUUCCGUGAGUCAUCGAAUCUUUGAACGCACAUUGCGCCCUGUGGUAUUCCGCAGGGCAUGCCUGUUCGAGCGUCAUUUCAACCCUCAAGCUCUGCUUGGUGUUGGGCCCUGCCCGCUGCGGCCGGCCCUAAAGACAGUGGCGGUGCCGCCUGGCCCUGAGCGUAGUACAUCUCUCGCUCCAGUGCCCGGUGGUAGCCUGCCAGAACCCCAACUCUCGUGGUUGACCUCGGAUCAGGUAGGGAUACCCGCUGAACUUAAGCAUAUCAAUAAGCGGAGGA